CCCAACAUGACUUUUGGAGUGACUCCACCAUGCAACUUAAUAAAAUUAAAGAUUAGCUACUAACCCUAUAAUGAAAUUACUUAGAAAUGAGGUAGAGGUACUAACCUUAGAAAUAUAAAUUGAGAUAGUGAACAUAAUAAGAAAAUUGAAAAGCUAUAUUUAGCUAAAGAAUAAAUAACUUAACUUUUCAAGUAUCACCUUCUAACUAAUCAUCAGUUCUUCAACUUAACUUGUGCCGACGCAAACCUUAUGUUCUUCGAGCUCCAACCUUCAAGCGCGUGCCAUUUUUAACAAAUUAGAGUUUAUAAAUUUUCUAUUUCUAAUUAACAGUCAUCAGACUAUAUUGCAAACAAGUCAAUUCAAAAAUCAAACAAAAAAAAGUAAUAUAACCCAACAUGACUUUUGAAGGAACUCCACCGUGCAACUUAAUAAAAUUAAAAAUUAGCUACUAACCCUAUCAUGGAAUUACUUAAACACGAGGUAGAUGUGCUAACCUCAGAAAUAGAAGUUGAGAUAGUAAAAAAAAUAAGAAAAUUAAAAAGUUAUACUUAGCUCAAGAAUAAAGAACUUAACCUUUCAAGUAUCAGCUUCUAACUGAUCAUCAAUUUUUCAACUUAACUUGUGCCGACCCAAACCUUAUCUUCUUCGAGCUCCAACCUUCAAGCACAAACCAUUUUUAAUAAAUUAGAGUUUAUAAAUUUUCUAUUUAAAAUUAACAACCAUCAAACUAUAUUACAAACAAUUCAAUCCAAACAUCAAAUAAAAAAAGUCAUUCAAACAAAAAAAUUAAAACAACCCAACAAGAAUAUUGAAGUAACUCCGCCAUGCAUCUAAACGCGUGCAUAUUGCAAAGGAGAGAGGAGAAAAAGCAUAUACAUACAUAUAUGUAUAAUAUACUACUCACAGUAAAACGCUUCAAAACUAACCUCCAUCCGUCGCACUUAAUGACUCCGGGUUAUCUAGUCACAAAUAUACAAAUUAGAGUUUAUAAAUUUUCUAUUUCUAAUUAACAAUCAUCAAACUAUGUUUUGUUCACCGUCUCAAUUUCUAUUUUCUAGGUCCGUACUUCUACCUCAACUCUGAAUAAUUUCAUGAUAGGGUUAGUAGCUAAUCUUUAAUUUUAUUAAGUUGCAUGGUGGAGUUACUUCAAAAGUAAUGUUUGGCAGAGAUGAGGUAGAAGUACUCACAUAGAAAUAGAAAUUGAGAUAGUUAACAAAAUAAGAAAAUAAAAAAAAAAAAAAAAGUUAAAUUUAGCUCAAGAAUAGACAACUUAGCUUUUCAAGUAUCAGCUUCUAACUGAUGAUCAGUUCUUCAACAUAACAUGUGCCGAGGCAAACCUCAUGUUCUUCGAGCUCCAAUCUUCAAGCACAUACCAUUUUUAACAAAUUAGAGUUUAUAAAUUUUGUAUUUCUAAUUAACAAUCAUCAAACUAUAUUUUUGUUCACUGUCUCAAUCUCUAUUUCCUAGGUUCGUACCUCUACCUCGUCUCUAAAUAAUUUCAUGAUAGGGUUAGUAGCUAAUCUUUAAUUUUAUUAAGUUGCAUGGUGGAGUUACUUCAAAAGUAAUGUUUGGUAGAGAUGAGGUAGAAGUACUGAUAUAGAAAUAGAAAU
rnacentral:lncRNA from 1 species